rnacentral:rRNA from 1 species
GACGAACGCUGGCGGCGUGCCUAAUACAUGCAAGUCGAACGAGAGCGACCGGUGCUUGCACUGGUCAAUCUAGUGGCGAACGGGUGAGUAACACGUGGGUAACCUGCCCAUCAGAGGGGGAUAACAUCCGGAAACGGAUGCUAAAACCGCAUAGGUCUUCGAACCGCAUGGUUUGAAGAGGAAAAGAGGCGCAAGCUUCUGCUGAUGGAUGGACCCGCGGUGCAUUAGCUAGUUGGUGAGGUAACGGCUCACCAAGGCCGUGAUGCAUAGCCGACCUGAGAGGGUGAUCGGCCACAUUGGGACUGAGACACGGCCCAAACUCCUACGGGAGGCAGCAGUAGGGAAUCUUCCGCAAUGGACGCAAGUCUGACGGAGCAACGCCGCGUGAGUGAAGAAGGUUUUCGGAUCGUAAAACUCUGUUGUUAGAGAAGAACAAGUGCUAGAGUAACUGUUAGCGCCUUGACGGUAUCUAACCAGAAAGCCACGGCUAAAC